ACUCAAAUGAAUAGACGGGGACCCGCACAAGCAGUGGAGUAUGUGGUUUAAUUCGAAGCAACGCGAAGAACCUUACCAGGGCUUGACAUCCCCUGCAUACCAUAGAGAUAUGGGAAGUCCUUCGGGACAGGGAGACAGGUGGUGCAUGGUUGUCGUCAGCUCGUGUCGUGAGAUGUUGGGUUAAGUCCCGCAACGAGCGCAACCCUUAUUGUCAGUUGCCAUCAUUUAGUUGGGCACUCUGGCAAGACUGCCGGUGACAAAUCGGAGGAAGGUGGGGAUGACGUCAAAUCAUCAUGCCCCUUAUGUCCUGGGCUACACACGUACUACAAUGGAUGACACAGCAGGGAGCGAAGGAGUAAUCCGGAGCGAAUCCUCAAAAGCAUCCUCAGUUCGGAUUGAGGGCUGAAACCCGCCCUCAUGAAGUCGGAAUUGCUAGUAAUGGCAGGUCAGCAUACUGCCGUGAAUACGUUCCCGGGUCUUGUACACACCGCCCGU
rnacentral:rRNA from 1 species